ensembl:snRNA
AUAUUCUAUGAAAGGAGCGGAGGUUAGCAAUCCCUUGACAAGGAUGGAAGAGGCCCUCAGGUCUGACAGAGGCAUGCAGUUAAGACAUUGCCACCUGCUUCAUGGCAUCUAACCACAGUUUCAG